rnacentral:rRNA from 1 species
AAUAUUGGACAAUGGGGGGAACCCUGAUCCAGCCAUGCCGUGAGUGUGAAGAAGGCCAUUUGGUUGUAAAGCACUUGACGUGCGGAGGAAGGUACUCCAGUUAAUACCUAGAGAUAGUGGAUGGAACGCGCAGAAUAAGAUCCGGCUAACUCCGUGCUAGCAGCCGCGGUAAGACAGAGGGUGCAAGCGUAAAUCGGAUUUACUGGGCGUAAAGCGCGCGUAGGUGGCCAAUUAAGUCAAAUGUGAAAUCCCCGAGCUUAACUUGGGAAUUGCAUUCGAUACUGGUUGGCUAGAGUAUGGGAGAGGAUGGUAGAAUUCCAGGUGUAGCGGUGAAAUGCGUAGAGAUCUGGAGGAAUACCGAUGGCGAAGGCAGCCAUCUGGCCUAAUACUGACACUGAGGUGCGAAAGCAUGGGGAGCAAACAG